GUGAAAUCCCCGGGCUCAACCUGGGAAUGGCGAUGGAGACUGCAAGGCUAGAGUUUGGCAGAGGGGGGUAGAAUUCCACGUGUAGCAGUGAAAUGCGUAGAUAUGUGGAGGAAUACCGAUGGCGAAGGCAGCCCCCUGGGAUAACACUGACGCUCAUGCACGAAAGCGUGGGGAGCAAACAGGAUUAGAUACCCUGGUAGUCCAUGCCGUAAACGAUGUCUACUAGCCGUUGGGAGCCUUGAGCUCUUAGUGGCGCAGCUAACGCAUUAAGUUGACCGCCUGGGGAGUACGGCCGCAAGGCUAAAACUCAAAGGAAUUGACGG
rnacentral:rRNA from 1 species